AGAGUUUGAUCAUGGCUCAGAUUGAACGCUGGUGGUAUGCUUAACACAUGCAAGUCGAACGGUAACAUUGGAGCUUGCUCCAGAUGACGAGUGGCGGACGGGUGAGUAACGCGUAGGAAUCUGCCUAGUAGUGGGGGACAACAUGUGGAAACGCAUGCUAAUACCGCAUACGCCCUACGGGGGAAAGCGGGGGAUCUUCGGACCUCGCGCUAUUAGAUGAGCCUGCGUUAGAUUAGCUUGUUGGUGGGGUAAUGGCCUACCAAGGCGACGAUCUAUAGCUGGUCUGAGAGGACGAUCAGCCACACUGGGACUGAGACACGGCCCAGACUCCUACGGGAGGCAGCAGUGGGGAAUAUUGGACAAUGGGCGCAAGCCUGAUCCAGCAAUACCACGUGUGUGAAGAAGGCCUGAGGGUUGUAAAGCACUUUCAAUUGGGAGGAAAACAGCUGGGUUAAUAGCCCUGCUCUUGACAUUACCU
rnacentral:rRNA from 1 species